rnacentral:lncRNA from 1 species
AGUGAGGAUCUUCCACCACCGGACUGAGCCGUAGGCCAGGAUCAUUGCGACGUAGAGCGGCACCACGGCGCUCAUCACCACAUAGAAGUCGUGCGCGCUGAUCAUCGUGAAAGGUUCUUCUCUUUUCUUCCUUCGGAUCUUCUUCUUCUUUGCGCUUACUUACCAGUGCUCUUUGAGCAGGAAAUUUCUUGACACUCGCUCGCUCUACGACUCGGUCGCUCGAUCUUCUACAGAAGCUGAGAAGAGGAAAGAAAAGGAACUCUCGUCCAAUCCGGCGACUUCUCUCCACUCCAAGUAAGCUUUCGAAUCAUUCCUUAGAUUUCUCGGGAAGAAGGAACUCGAGAAGAGCAAAACGACUGACUACCACUCCUGACUGCCUCGCUCUCGUGCUUGCGCUUGCUUGCUCCCUCCCAGGAGCUCGCGUCGCUUCCUCCAACGAGCAGCUCGUUAGCAGCGCAAUUGGAUUCCAUCCAAGUAGAAAAAGAAGAACAAGGACGUGAAAAAAAAAGUGGGAGAAAACGCUGCUAAAAACUAGCGAGACGAUGCGAGGAGCGAAUCAAAUGGAAGAAGACGGUUGCGGCGAAGAAGCUCAACGCCCCAAAAGCUACCACACGCUGUCCCCCAAUCCAUCAUCAAGCACACUACAGCGCUCACACUAAAUUUAUAUAUAGUUGCAAUUUUCUACGACCAAAACCAUAUAAAACUCUAUACGCAAUAAACUAGAGUCGCUCCUUUACUUCCACGGCUUUAGAAAAAAG